rnacentral:rRNA from 1 species
AUGAACGCUGGCGGCGUGCCUAAUACAUGCAAGUCGAGCGAACAGACGAGGAGCUUGCUCCUCUGACGUUAGCGGCGGACGGGUGAGUAACACGUGGAUAACCUACCUAUAAGACUGGGAUAACUUCGGGAAACCGGAGCUAAUACCGGAUAAUAUAUUGAACCGCAUGGUUCAAUAGUGAAAGACGGUUUUGCUGUCACUUAUAGAUGGAUCCGCGCCGCAUUAGCUAGUUGGUAAGGUAACGGCUUACCAAGGCGACGAUGCGUAGCUGACCUGAGAGGGUGAUCGGCCACACUGGAACUGAGACACGGUCCAGACUCCUACGGGAGGCAGCAGUAGGGAAUCUUCCGCAAAGGGCGAAAGCCUGACGGAGCAACGCCGCGUGAGUGAUGAAGGUCUUCGGAUCGUAAAACUCUGUUAUUAGGGAAGAACAAAUGUGUAAGUAACUAUGCACGUCUUGACGGUACCUAAUCAGAAAGCCACGGCUAACUACGUG